UACGGGGGGAGCAAGCGUUGUUCGGAUUUACUGGGCGUAAAGGGCGCGUAGGCGGCAAUUCAAGUCAUCUGUGAAAUCUCCGGGCUUAACUCGGAACGGUCAGGUGAUACUGCUUUGCUAGAGUGCGGAAGGGGCAAUCGGAAUUCUUGGUGUAGCGGUGAAAUGCGUAGAUAUCAAGAGGAACACCUGAGGUGAAGACGGGUUGCUGGGCCGACACUGACGCUGACAGCGCGAAAGCCAGGGGAGCAAACGGGG
rnacentral:rRNA from 1 species